rnacentral:rRNA from 1 species
GACGAACGCUGGCGGCGUGCUUAACACAUGCAAGUCGAACGGAAAGGCCCUGCUUUUGUGGGGUGCUCGAGUGGCGAACGGGUGAGUAACACGUGAGUAACCUGCCCUUGACUUUGGGAUAACUUCAGGAAACUGGGGCUAAUACCGGAUAGGAGCUCCUGCUGCAUGGUGGGGGUUGGAAAGUUUCGGCGGUUGGGGAUGGACUCGCGGCUUAUCAGCUUGUUGGUGGGGUAGUGGCUUACCAAGGCUUUGACGGGUAGCCGGCCUGAGAGGGUGACCAGGCACAAUGGGACUGAGAUACGGCCCAGACGCCUACGGGAGGCAGCAGGGGGGAAUAUUGCACAAUGGGCGGAAGCCUGAUGCAGCAACGCCGCGUGCGGGAUGACGGCCUUCGGGUUGUAAACCGCUUUCGCCUGUGACGAAGCGUGAGUGACGGUAAUGGGUAAAGAAGCACCGGCUAACUACGUG